rnacentral:rRNA from 1 species
GACGAACGCUGGCGGCGUGCUUAACACAUGCGAGUCGAACGGAAAGGCCCUGCUUGCAGGGUGCUCGAGUGGCGAACGGGUGAGUAACACGUGGGUGAUCUGCCCCUUACUUUGGGAUAAGCCUGGGAAACUGGGUCUAAUACUGGAUAGGACCAUGCUGUAGGUGGUGUGGUGGAAAGAUUAGUUUCGGUAAGGGAUGAGCUCGCGGCCUAUCAGCUUGUUGGUGGGGUAAUGGCCUACCAAGGCGUCGACGGGUAGCCGGCCUGAGAGGGUGGACGGCCACAUUGGGACUGAGAUACGGCCCAGACUCCUACGGGAGGCAGCAGUGGGGAAUAUUGCACAAUGGGCGCAAGCCUGAUGCAGCGACGCCGCGUGGGGGAUGACGGCCUUCGGGUUGUAAACUCCUUGCAGCCAUGACGAAGCCCUUGUGGUGACGGUAGUGGUAGAAGAAGCACCGGCUAACUACGUG